rnacentral:tRNA from 1 species
GGGGAUGUAGCACGGUGCUAGAGCACUUGCCUAGCAUGCAAGACACCCUAGGUUCAAUCCCCAGCACCA